rnacentral:rRNA from 1 species
AUUACUGCGCUAUGGGGGCGACCCUAAUGCAGCCACGCCCCGUGUGUGAAGAGGGCCUUGGGGUUGAAGAGCACUUUUAAUUGGGAGGAAAGGUGCUACGUUAAUACCGUGCUGCUAUGACCUUACCCUUAAAUGAUGCACCGGCAAUUUCGUGCCAGCAGCCGCGGUAAUUUAGAGGGUGCGAGCGUUUAUCGAAUUUACUGGGAGUAAAGCGUGCGUAGGCGGUCUGUUAAGUCGGAUGUGUAAGCCCCGGGCUCAACCUUGGAACUGCAUUCGAUACUGGCCGACUAGACUCCCCGAGAGGGAGGUAGAAUUCCUCGUGUAGCGGUGAAAUGCGUAGAUAUGUGGAGGAAUACCGGUCGCGAAGGCGGCCUCCUGGCUCGAUACUGACGCUCAGGUCGAAAGCGUGGGGAGCAACCAGGAUUCGAUACCCUGGUAGUCCCCGCCCU